ensembl:lncRNA
AGUUGCUGCUAGCUAAAGAUCCAGCUGCUGUAUUUCACAGGGAGAGAAAAGAAAGAGCUAACUUCACUCAGAGAUGGAGAAAGACACGAAAGACAGGACACUACAGGAAGAAGAGAAGUUAUAUUUAAAGGGUAAGCAUCUUAAGGACAAGAUUUGACAUGUAGACUGGAGCAGCUUGGGAUCGAACCACCAACUUUCCGAUUAGAUGACCUGCUCUGCUUUCUAAGCUACAGCAACUCCUUUAGAUUCAACCGAAUGGCACAGAUUCAAAAAGGUGCUGGAACUGUUCCUCAGACAUUUUGUUCCAUGUUGAUAUGAUGGCAUCUGCGCCACUGCAGAUUCAUCCGGUGCACAUCAUGAUGUGACCCUGUUCCACCACAUCCCAAAGGUGCGCUGUUGCACUGAGAUCAGGUAAUUAGAGGUCUUAAGGUUUGAUAUGAUCUGAGCUUUAUGACAGAGCUUUAUCCUGCUGGAGUCUGUAACCACAAUGUACUCAUCUUCUGGUGGCUAAGGAAUGGAUGUGGUCAGCAGCAAUAAUCAGGUAAGCUGUGGUGUUUUAAAUGAUGAUCACUGACACAAGGCAGUAUGGAUUCAUGGUGUCAUGCUGUUUAUGCCAAAUUUUGACCCCAAAUUUCAAAGGUCGCAGCAGAAAUCGGGACUCUUCAGACCAGGCAAUGCUUGUUUUUUUCGGGGGGGUAUGUUGUGGUGUUUCUGGGUUGUUUUUUUUUGUUUUUGUUUUUUGUUUUUUUUUUUGUUUUUUUUUUGUUUAAUCGUCUGGCUAAUUUUGGCGAGCUAUUGUCACCUCAGUUUCCCGUUAUACCUGCUGCCUUCCUAGCAGCUCAAAGCAGUCUGGCCAGUCUCCUCUGGCAUCGACAAGAUGUUUUCACCCAGAGAACUGAACAUUUUCUUUUUCAACACAUUCUCUGUUCAUAGCAUUUCAGAAACUGCUGAUCUGCUGGAAUUUUCCCACACGAUGUUACUUGGAUUUACAGUGUCUGGCACCGCCAAAAACUACCACCAUGUUACAUUCAACGUCACUUUGCUCUUGUCUCCUCACAUUGCAAAAUCUGCCAUAAAAUCCUUGAAUAUUUCUUUUUUUUUUUUUUUUUUUUUUAUCUUUCAAAAGAGUGCAAAUGCACCAGAGUAUGGACCACAUGUAAGAGUAAAAGACACUGAUUUAAAAAAAUUUGAUUUGACGAUCAUUUUUGGCUGUGUUAAGCUUCUGUCAUGGAUUCUUUUUGCAGGAAAUCUUUUUCAUCAAUGGAAAAAGUUGGAAAAAAAAAUGUCUGAGGAGGGCUUAAGGGUUAAAUGACCUUUCUUCCCCUACUGAUGAUCAGCUUAAAGUUCAGUGGCUUAAAUGAGACGAUGGAGACCUCCCAGGAUGGGAAAGAAAGAAGCUUCAAAUUCAGGUCCUGCAUUGACGCCGAUCACACCAGGACAUUUGAUCUGAAGUCGCAGCCACAACCUCUGACUUCCUCACAGCGCUUCUUUUUCACACACGAAGGGAAAUGUCAAAUGUUUGCAUUUUCAGAGGGAGCUGGGUGUUAUUUUUCUUGGCAGGCUUGAGCUCAGCAGCUGGAGACUUGCAGUCAGGUCAGAGAGGCUGACAAGGUUGCUACACCACCCCCUGAGCUUUUUUUUUUCCUUCUUCUCCUUCUUAAAUGGGGUGGCAAAGGAGAAAAUGGGAGCCUAUCAGGAGAAUCUUUGGUUUUGUAAAUUCACAAGUAUCAAUUAUAAAUUGAGAGGUGGGUCCACAACUGUAAGAAUAUGGCUAAUACACCGAAGCACACAAUUCAGUGUCAUCUCUGCUUACCUUUAUUCUAAACACAGCUCAUGCUUCUGCUUUCAGCUACAUUAGUGAUCAGUGGGGGUUAGUUUAGUUGAUUGCUUUUUAUUUUUACCAGAAAAGGCCCAUUGAGAUCAGUCUUUUUUUUUUUUUUCAUAAAAACAAAAGACCCAGCAAAAGUUGCAAUCUGUCUUCUCUUUUGUUUAGAACAUUCUUUAACUCAGUAAAAUUUUUCCAAAUUUUAUAAACUCUGUUUAACGAAUUCAGAGGUCCAGAUGCCCUUACAUUCAUUAAACAGUGCAACCAUGGGUACUAAAUUAUGGGUAUGGACAAGUGCCAUGCAUGUUUUGUUUCUGUACAUGUUAAAAUAAAUGGCCUGCUUACAUUUUUUUUAAUUUAAAAUGGUAUAAGCUGAAAGUAUUCCUUCUCUUUGUAAUUUCACUGUCUGAAAUAAAAUGUGCGUUGACUCAUACUCUCCUGGAAGAAAUAAACGUGGUGUCC